GACGAACGCUGGCGGCGUGCCUAAUACAUGCAAGUUGAGCGCUGAAGGUUGGUACUUGUACCAACUGGAUGAGCAGCGAACGGGUGAGUAACGCGUGGGGAAUCUGCCUUUGAGCGGGGGACAACAUUUGGAAACGAAUGCUAAUACCGCAUAAAAACUUUAAACACAAGUUUUAAGUUUGAAAGAUGCAAUUGCAUCACUCAAAGAUGAUCCCGCGUUGUAUUAGCUAGUUGGUGAGGUAAAGGCUCACCAAGGCGAUGAUACAUAGCCGACCUGAGAGGGUGAUCGGCCACAUUGGGACUGGGACACGGCCCAAACUCCUACGGGAGGCAGCAGUAGGGAAUCUUCGGCAAUGGACGGAAGUCUGACCGAGCAACGCCGCGUGAGGGAAGAAGGUUUUCGGAUCGGAAAACUCUGUUGGUAGAGAAGAACGUUGGUGAGAGUGGAAAGCUCAUCAAGUGACGGUAACUACCCAGAAAGGGACGGCUAACUACGUG
rnacentral:rRNA from 1 species